UUUUUAGAUAGUCUUAUCACAUAGGAUUGAUUGUAGGAUGACUGCACUUUUACUCUGAGAGCCACUGUCCUUGCGAGGAGUGUGUCAAGAAUGAGUGGGAAUGUCUUUGGAUCAUCUUCCUCUUCCUAAAAAUUAAAGAACCAUUAAUAAAGUAUAUAUGUAUUUGGUCAGUUUUUUAAUUUUUCUUGACAUGGAUAUAUAUAAAUUCAUAUAUGUAAAAAUAUAAACAGCAAGCAUAUGGUUUCAGAGCUCGGAUGCAGUAAUUCCAAUGAUGUCAACACAUUGGUGAUCCCAGAAGAAAAAUCUUCCGUUGCCAUUUUGGUGAAUAAUCUUAAUAUCCAAUUUGUACAUAAAAAAUAAAUCGAACCAUAAGGGACUAACAUGUUAACAAAAUCACAAUUUAAGUAUUAAACCUAUAUACUGAAACAGUUUUACCUUGUGGUAGACCUCUAAUUAUAAGUUCCACACUUAAAGGUGAAAGGACCAUCCUUAACCUCAGACUUCUUAGUGCAUUUUAUACAUCCAUCAUAAUACCAUCCUUGUUUCCUAACAAUAAACAUUGCAGUUGUUCCAAUAGUAACACAAGUAAUUUCCUACACAAUUUAAAAAUAUGAUGAGGACAUUAC
rnacentral:lncRNA from 1 species